AGGAGGUACAACCGCAGUGGUGGCGGUCAGCUCUGGAGCCCUGGAGUAGCUCCCGCAGUAUCUCCAGAGCUCUCAGUCUGCAGGGCUUGGUGGCUCCGGGGGUGG
rnacentral:pre_miRNA from 1 species